UACGGGGGGGCAAGCGUUGUUCGGAAUUACUGGACGUAAAGGCUCGUAGGCGGCCAACUAAGUCAGACGUGAAAUCCCUCGGCUUAACCGGGGAACUGCAUCUGAUACUGGAUGGCUUGAGAUUGGGAGAGGGAUGCGGAAUUCCUGGUGUAGCGGUGAAAUGCGCAGAUAUCAGGAGGAACACCAAUGGCGAAGGCAGCUCGCUGGAACGGUACUGACGCUGAGGCGCGAAAGCGUGGGGAGCGAACAGG
rnacentral:rRNA from 1 species